UCUUCUUCCCGUUUCUUCUUCCUUUUUUUCUUCUUCUUUUUCUCCGUUCUUUAUCUCCGACGAUUCUUUGAGAAAAUAGGUAACGUCGAGAGAUUUUGAGAAAGGUCAAGGAAUAACUGAUGGUAGUGGUGUUGGUUCGAGGUAGUUGAUUCGGAUUCGAGGAGAUGGAUGAUUCAUUUAACAGAACUAGGGUUAAUAGAUCGGAUUUAAGUUCUGAAGAUUUAAAAGAUGAAGAUUUAGAGCUAUGGUUGGAUGAAGACACUUGGGUUAAUGUCUAAUUGAGGUUCUGAAGUUUUUCUCUCAAUGAAUUGAGGAAUUAGGGUUCUUAAUUGGGAUUGAAGUAUUUUCAGAAAUUAAAAAGGGGGUUUUGAUUUAAGAAAGUGUAAGAUGAAAUUAGAAAUGGGUAUUGAGUUAAUUAAACGAAUUAGGUUGAGAUUACAUGUGAAAUCAUGUCUCAGACAAUGGGUUGAUAUCUCAGGGGGAAUCAGGGUUUCUUCUUGAGGACUAUGGGUGAGUAGAAGCAGCGGGAGAUGAUUCUGGUGGUGAAAUUGAUUGGAAAAAAAAGGAUUCUGAGAAGAAGGAUUGCUGCAGCUGAAGUUAAGAUGAUUGCAGGUAAAGCUAAACUUGUAAUUAUUGAUUUUAGUAAUGAAGGUUAUAGCUAUGAAUUGGUUAAAGUACAAAUGGUAAAUGAGUUUGUUAUGGUCUUGAAUAAUUCACAAGAUAGGUCUGUUAUAUUGGAGUUUUAUGGAUGUAAAUUACAGGGAGAAGGAAAGAUUGCGUUAUUAUUGAAUAUUGAAUGCUAGGUUUGUUGAGUUGAUAAUUGUAAGUUAUGAGUUGCCUGAGGUGAUAAUGGUGUUGCUGUUGGGAUUCAAAUUGAGUUUACAGAAUUUCCUGAGUUGGUAGUGUUAUUGUUCAAGAGGAACUGAAAAUAGAUUUCAGUUGAAGAAGUAAUAUAACUGAAAAGAGGGUUAGUGGUUUGAAGUUAAGAGAGUGUAUACAUUUCUAGUGUCAUUGCACGAUUAUGGAUCUGUCAGUGUUGGUGUUCACAGAUGCAUGGGUGGUUGGAAUUGGAGUUUGUUGUGCAGGUAUGAACUGGUGGUGCUGAGGUGAUGAAUUGCAGGUGGAGUUGAGUUAUGUAGUGGUGGUUGUAUAAUGGUUGGGGGUUACAGGGUUUGGUAUGUAUUGGUGAUGAAUACAGUUGGGGUUGAACUACUUGGUUGAGGUAGAACUGAGGGAUAAGAGUGAAAGCUUGCAGGUAGUUAUUAACAACGAUCGAUUCAAAGUAUGAACCAGUGGAUCGUGGAUCUCGAAAUAGGCCUGGCUUGUCAUCAAAAGAGGUCGGAAUUUACAUUUAACUCUUUUGUGAUCAUUGUUGUUUUCUUUUACAAAAGUUUACGUUUAUCAAACUCAUGCAUCGUUUGGUUGCGCUUUACAUGCAUUGUUUAAUUUAAAUUCCGAUGGUUAUGUUGGUUCUUUAAUCUUUCAGAUUGUUUGUAUUACUUUCCGGAAGUUCUGUUAUUUCUUUUAAUCUUUCCAUUGUUUGGAAAGGAACGGUAAUGCUUGGUUUGUCUUUAUGAAUUAUUAGGGAGAUAAGAAUUUUCAUCUCUGGUAUAUAGAAUACGCUCCUUCACUUAUACUUUUUAUGCACAUCUGGGUGUGUAAUUGUCACCCAAAUUAUCUAGGUGUGUAAUUGUCACCAAUAUUACGGGUGUGUACAGUCACCCACAGACUAUCUAGUUGUGUAAUUCUGACCAAUAUUACGGUGUGUAAAUGUCAUCACAGAAAUAAUUGUUUGCGGUGUGUAAAUGUCACCACAGAAAUAAAGAAGGAGUUAGUUCCAUAUACAUGACUGUUUAAUUCAGUGAGUUGGUUGUCUUUUAAUGUUUGGAAAAACAUGUACUGUUUUCCAAAUCAUGCCGAUGUUUACUUAAAAGUAAAAUGUUAUUUCCAUUGGACACCCCUUUUAGGGAUAUUGUGCUCACCCAUUCCUACUUUCAGUUUCAGAGACAGAUCAAGAUGUACAUGUGACGAUGAAAGCUUCGAGGAGUUGAUUACGUUAGUUAGUUAGCUUCCGCUAUGUUUAAUUUGUGUUUAUAUUUUAUUUGUAAAUCAACUCACUACUGAAUAUGUAUCAUUUGAGAGAAGUUCUUAUAUUUAUUUCAGAGUGGGUUUAUAUUCGGGUUAAUCUUUAUUUAGUGUUUUAAUAGA